rnacentral:misc_RNA from 1 species
GAUGAAGAACGCAGCGAAAUGCGAUAAGUAAUGUGAAUUGCAGAAUUCAGUGAAUCAUCGAAUCUUUGAGCGCACAUUGCGCCCCCUGGUAUUCCGGGGGGCAUGCCUGUCCGAGCGUCAUUACAACCCUCAAGCUCAGCUUGGUGUUGGGCCCCGCCGCCCCGGCGGGCCCUAAAGUCAGUGGCGGUGCCGUCCGGCUCCGAGCGUAGUAAUUCUUCUCGCUCUGGAGGUCCGGUCGUGUGCUCGCCAGCAACCCCCAAUUUUUUUCAGGUUGACCUCGGAUCAGGUAGGGAUACCCGCUGAACUUAAGCAUAUCAAUAAGCGGAGGA